CACUAUCGUUAACUGAAUACAUAGGUUAACGAGGCGAACCGGGGGAACUGAAACAUCUAAGUACCCCGAGGAAAAGAAAUCAACCGAGAUUCCCCCAGUAGCGGCGAGCGAACGGGGAGCAGCCCGGAGUCUGAAUCAGCUUGUGUGUUAGUGGAACGGUCUGGAAAGUCCGACGGUACAGGGUGAUAGUCCCGUACACGAAAAUGCACUUGCUGUGAACUCGAAGAGUAGGGCGGGACACGUGGUAUCCUGUCUGAAUAUGGGGGGACCAUCCUCCAAGGCUAAAUACUCCUGACUGACCGAUAGUGAACCAGUACCGUGAGGGAAAGGCGAAAAGAACCCCGGCGAGGGGAGUGAAAAAGAACCUGAAACCGUGUACGUACAAGCAGUGGGAGCACCUUCGGGUGUGACUGCGUACCUUUUGUAUAAUGGGUCAGCGACUUAUAUUCUGUAGCAAGGUUAACCGUAUAGGGGAGCCGAAGGGAAACCGAGUCUUAACUGGGCGUUAAGUUGCAGGGUAUAGACCCGAAACCCGGUGAUCUAGCCAUGGGCAGGUUGAAGGUUGGGUAACACUAACUGGAGGACCGAACCGACUAAUGUUGAAAAAUUAGCGGAUGACCUGUGGCUGGGGGUGAAAGGCCAAUCAAACCGGGAGAUAGCUGGUUCUCCCCGAAAGCUAUUUAGGUAGCGCCUCGUGAACUCAUCUUCGGGGGUAGAGCACUGUUUCGGCUAGGGGGCCAUCCCGGCUUACCAACCCGAUGCAAACUACGAAUACCGAAGAAUGUUAUCACGGGAGACACACGGCGGGUGCUAACGUCCGUCGUGAAGAGGGAAACAACCCAGACCGCCAGCUAAGGUCCCAAAGUCAUGGUUAAGUGGGAAACGAUGUGGGAAGGCACAGACAGCCAGGAUGUUGGCUUAGAAGCAGCCAUCAUUUAAAGAAAGCGUAAUAGCUCACUGGUCGAGUCGGCCUGCGCGGAAGAUGUAACGGGGCUAAACCAUGCACCGAAGCUGCGGCAGCGACACUAUGUGUUGUUGGGUAGGGGAGCGUUCUGUAAGCCGUUGAAGGUGUGCUGUGAGGCAUGCUGGAGGUAUCAGAAGUGCGAAUGCUGACAUAAGUAACGAUAAAGCGGGUGAAAAGCCCGCUCGCCGGAAGACCAAGGGUUCCUGUCCAACGUUAAUCGGGGCAGGGUGAGUCGACCCCUAAGGCGAGGCCGAAAGGCGUAGUCGAUGGGAAACAGGUUAAUAUUCCUGUACUUGGUGUUACUGCGAAGGGGGGACGGAGAAGGCUAUGUCAGCCGGGCGACGGUUGUCCCGGUUUAAGCAUGUAGGCGGAGGUUCCAGGUAAAUCCGGUACCUUAUUAACGCUGAGGUGUGAUGACGAGGCACUACGGUGCUGAAGUGAUAAAUGCCCUGCUUCCAGGAAAAGCCUCUAAGCAUCAGGUAACACGAAAUCGUACCCCAAACCGACACAGGUGGUCAGGUAGAGAAUACCAAGGCGCUUGAGAGAACUCGGGUGAAGGAACUAGGCAAAAUGGUGCCGUAACUUCGGGAGAAGGCACGCUGAUAGGUAGGUGAAGCCCCUGCGGGCGGAGCUGAAAUCAGUCGAAGAUACCAGCUGGCUGCAACUGUUUAUUAAAAACACAGCACUGUGCAAACACGAAAGUGGACGUAUACGGUGUGACGCCUGCCCGGUGCCGGAAGGUUAAUUGAUGGGGUUAGCGGCAACGCGAAGCUCUUGAUCGAAGCCCCGGUAAACGGCGGCCGUAACUAUAACGGUCCUAAGGUAGCGAAAUUCCUUGUCGGGUAAGUUCCGACCUGCACGAAUGGCGUAAUGAUGGCCAGGCUGUCUCCACCCGAGACUCAGUGAAAUUGAACUCGCUGUGAAGAUGCAGUGUACCCGCGGCAAGACGGAAAGACCCCGUGAACCUUUACUAUAGCUUGACACUGAACACUGGUCCUUGAUGUGUAGGAUAGGUGGGAGGCUUUGAAGCGUGGACGCCAGUCUGCGUGGAGCCAUCCUUGAAAUACCACCCUUUAAUGGCUGGUGUUCUAACGUAGACCCGUGAUCCGGGUUGCGGACAGUGUCUGGUGGGUAGUUUGACUGGGGCGGUCUCCUCCCAAAGAGUAACGGAGGAGCACGAAGGUUGGCUAAUCCUGGUCGGACAUCAGGAGGUUAGUGCAAUGGCAUAAGCCAGCUUGACUGCGAGCGUGACGGCGCGAGCAGGUGCGAAAGCAGGUCAUAGUGAUCCGGUGGUUCUGAAUGGAAGGGCCAUCGCUCAACGGAUAAAAGGUACUCCGGGGAUAACAGGCUGAUACCGCCCAAGAGUUCAUAUCGACGGCGGUGUUUGGCACCUCGAUGUCGGCUCAUCACAUCCUGGGGCUGAAGUAGGUCCCAAGGGUAUGGCUGUUCGCCAUUUAAAGUGGUACGCGAGCUGGGUUUAGAACGUCGUGAGACAGUUCGGUCCCUAUCUGCCGUGGGCGCUGGAGAAUUGAGGGGGGCUGCUCCUAGUACGAGAGGACCGGAGUGGACGCAUCACUGGUGUUCGGGUUGUCAUGCCAAUGGCACUGCCCGGUAGCUAAAUGCGGAAGAGAUAAGUGCUGAAAGCAUCUAAGCACGAAACUUGCCCCGAGAUGAGUUCUCCCUGAGACUUUAAGUCUCCUGAAGGAACGUUGAAGACGACGACGUUGAUAGGUCGGGUGUGUAAGCGCAGCGAUGCGUUGAGCUAACCGAUACUAAUGAACCGUGAGGCUUAACCUU
rnacentral:rRNA from 1 species